AUCAAGAUCAUUUAGAAGACCAUGUACAAGAGGGGUGUCAUAUCACCUCCCCCUGGGUACACGCCACUGCUACCUAGUAAAAUUUAAAUACAAACUUUGAAGUUAGUGGUAGUUUUGAAUUUCACCAUUUAAUUGCUACACCGUAAAAAUAUAGUUUGUCAGACACUGAUUUUUUGGAUGAUCCAUAUUUGUAUGACUAUGGCCGCUCUUU